GAUGAAGAACGUAGCGAAAUGCGAUACGUAGUGUGAAUUGCAGAAUUCAGUGAAUCAUCGAAUUUUUGAACGCACAUUGCACCUCUCGGUAUUCCGGGAGGUAUGCCUGUUCGAGCGUCAUUUGUACCCUCAAGCUCUGCUUGGUGUUGGGUGUUUGUUCCGCCUCUGUGUGUGAACUCGCCUCAAAACAAUUGGCAGCCGGCGUACUUGUUUCGGAGCGCAGCACAUUUUGCGAUCCAGAUCAACGUACAGCGGCAUCCAAGAAGCCUUAUUUAACGCUCUUGACCUCGGAUCAGGUAGGGAUACCCGCUGAACUUAAGCAUAUCAAUAAGCGGAGGA
rnacentral:misc_RNA from 1 species